rnacentral:rRNA from 1 species
GACGAACGCUGGCGGCGUGCUUAACACAUGCAAGUCGAGCGGAGCGGCGAACGGGUGAGUAACGCGUGAGUAACUGCACCCCUCUCUGGGAUAACAGUUGGAAACGGCUGCUAAUAACUGAUAGGGGGGGAUGGCUCGGGUCCUAUCAGCUUGUUGGUGGGGUAGUGGCCGACCAAGGCGACGACGGGUACCCGGCCUGAGAGGGCGCACGGCCACAUUGGGCUGAGAGACGGCCCAGACUCCUACGGGAGGCAGCAGUGGGGAAUAUUGCACAAUGGGGGAAACCCUGAUGCAGCAACGCGCGUGCGGGAUGACGGCCUUCGGGUUGUAAACCGCUUUCAGCCAUGACGCGGUAGUGGCAGAAGAAGCACCGGCUAACUACGUGCCAGCCGCCGCGGUAAUUC